rnacentral:ncRNA from 1 species
CUUUUAUCCAGAGCGAUGGAGGGAUCGGCCCUGCGAAGUCGCAGCAACCCACAAAAAGCCUCUGCUCAUCACCAGAUGGCUUUUUGCAAGGUGCUAAUUCCGGCCCGACUGCUGAACGUUGUAGGCACACGAUGUUCAAGGCUAGGCAUAGCCUGGCAGUUGGGAAAGAUAAGAG